rnacentral:lncRNA from 1 species
CUAUGGAUGAUGACUCUGAAUGAAUGGGCUCCUCCCGGGCCUCUGGACUCUCAGCUGCCUCUCCUUCCCUUCGCAACCGAAUUCCAGCACUAACCCCAUACAAGACACAUAGAAGCAUUCAGUAAAAAUUAAACUAACCAGAAAGUCAACCGAGCCAUCUAAUUCUUAGACUGGCCACAUUCUGAGAAGCAGCACACAAGCCCAAGACUGGAUGGCCACAUCCAUGAAGGAUACGAGAGAGCCGAACUUCCCCUUUUUGGGGAAUUCACAGUCAUAAAAGCCUGCUUCCUGCUGGGGCAGGUGCAAGGACCCAAGAAGUGUUUUGAAGGUUGAACAAUCACAGGCUUGGGUUUGGGUUUCAUUGAUAGCAUAAUUUCUUCAAAAAUUUGGUAGAACUUUGGUCUAUUUGGUUCUGGUCAGUUGCAAUGUGAGUAACUACGGCCAAGAUCUUAUCUAGACAGGGUUUUCAAGUCUGAAAAUUCUGAUCUUCUCCUGACUUGCCUGCCAUUGUUCCACCUGCUUGGUGGCUCUCUUCAGGUCAUCUGGAACAACAGGGGAAGCACCAUUCUUCUUUGCCAGCAGGCGCACAGCUUUUCUAAAGAAGACACUAGUCUCAGUGCCUCCUAAUUCUGCCACUUGGCAGUUACCAUUCAUAAAUGUUUCAGUGAAGAAGUGACUGGCUUUACAAACUCUGCAAAAAUCAAAAUUACAGGAUUCUAAGUCAAUCCAGAUUAUAGGUUAUAGCAGAGAGUUCCGCCCUCACCAAAGUUGUACAGAGGAGCUAGCUCUAGCUUAAGCCUCUCUCUUUCUCUCUAGUAGGACUUUGCUAAAAGUAGCAAGAAGGAGCCAGAAAAUACCAACAUUCUAAAACCCUACCUUUUUACAUGGUUACAUUGCUUCGCUGCAACUUCACUUAGACCAUAAUCUGCCUUCAAGGCGAGGUAGCUAGAGUCUGAAGAUGGCUUCCUCCAAUGAAACACAAUUCCCACCAUACGGAGCACCUCCCUUUAAAUCUGGGCAGGCCCUGUGACUCACUUUAGAGCCUAAGGAAGGGCUGACAGCUUUUACUUUUGCAUCCUUGGGGUCCAGCUGCCACAUAAAGAAGCCCAAGUUAAGGUCCAUGGAGAGAGAGGUGAUGGGCCUUCCAGCCCUCCCUUCCAAUGAGUGAAGUCCAGCGGGGAUAUUCCAUCCCCAGCCAGCAUCCUCAAAGACCCCUGUGAGACUGGCAGAAGAUCCACCCAGUUGAUGAGUCAACUGACAGAACUGUGAGAGGUAAUACAAUGCUUGUUGUUUUAACCCAUUAAGUUGAAGGGGGGGUAGUUUGUCCCAGAGUAAGAGGUAACUAGCACACAAGGUUUGGGUCCAGUGUUUUACUACUGUAUACCCAGAGCCCCGAGCUUUCUAGUCUGCAGUGCCUGAGUCCUCACCAUCUGCCUCCCAACUUCAUCCAUUAAUUAAGCAUCUGGUUUCUGUCACUUGUGGUGCCCUCUUUCCAGGUACCAAAUUCAACAUUGAUUAGAAUUAGAUUUACCUGUAGUGACAGAAAAGUUAAAGUGAUGGUGGCUUAAACUAAAGAAAACAUUCAUUUCUGUCUCCCAUAAAUGAAGUCCAGGCAUAAGUAAUCCUUACCCCUUCCCUCUCGUUCCACCAUCCUCAACACAGGCUUUUCGCUCAUGGUCCAAGAUGCCUGCUCAAACUCCAGCCACAACGGUGGCCUUUCAGCCAACAGAAGGUGAACAAGACAAAGAAAUGUGUGUCUCUCUCUCUAAGGACACGUCCUGAAGGUGUGCCGGACCCUUCUGCCUACAUCUCCUUGGCCACACAUGGCCACACUAAGCUGGAAGACAGGUUGGAGAUGUGGUCUUUAAUCCAAGCAGCUAUGUGCCCAGAUGAAAACUGAGGGCUCUACCCAGGAAGAGGAGAACGACUAACCUGGCAGCGUCUGCCACAGAGUGCUCUGAUUACACGGCUUUCUAGAGAGCAAGUCUCCUCCUCUGUUUUUAUUUUUCAUACCUUUUUGGGGGUUCAGUUCCUUGCAAAAGGUAAAAAAAAUGUGUUUAGUAUUCUAGCUGGAAUUAGAUGAAAUAUAUGUAGUAAUUUUGGAGAACUGACGCUUUCAUGAAUUGAUAUCUUCCUAUUCAAAAACACUGCAUGUCUUUUCACUCAUUCAAAUCUUGUUUUAUCUUUUUUUUUUUUUGUUGUUGUUGUUGUUGUAUUUUUAGGGCCACACCCACAGCAUAUGGAAGUUCCCAGGCUAGGAGUUAUAUCGGAGCUGCACCUGGUGGCCUACACCACAGCCACAGCAACUCGGGAUCCAGGCUGUGUCUGUGACCUAAACCACAGCUCAUGUCAAUGCCAGAUCCCUAACCCACUAAACAAGGCCAGGGAUUGAACCCACAUCCUCAUGGAUUCUAGCUGGGUUUGUUACCACCGAGCCAUGACUCCCUUAUUUUAUUUCUUUUAAUAAUAUUUUGUGGUUUUCUCUUUAUAGGGUCUACACUUUUCUUGAUAAUUGUAUUCUGAAGCAUUUCAUAGGUUUAGUUGCUAUCAGUGUAAUUUUCUCUCCAAAUUUCUUUGUAGGUGUUCACUCAGAGUAGAAAAAAAUGAUUGGCACUUUUGCUUCCAGGUAUGAUUGAGCAGCUUUUGUCAAUGGGUGCUUCUGCUGAAUACAACUACAAAAGUCAGAUAAAAUAGUUCCCCUACCUGCCCCCCCUCAACCAGUGUGCAAAGGCAUUGGGGAGCUACUCAACCAACCAGGCCUGGGGGUCCGAGUUUCCAGAAAAGGGAAUAGAGGAGACAAGAGCUAACAAACAGUCUAUAGCUACUUCUUGUACCUCAAUAUGAAGUUUUCUUUUCUUCUUCGUCUUUUUUUUUUUUUUCUUGUCUUUUUAAGGCUGCAUCCGAAGGAUAUUGAAGUUCCCAGGCCAGGGGUCGAAUUGAAGCUGUAGCCACUGGCCUACACCACAGCCACAGCAGCUCAGGAUCCAAGCCAUGUCUGUAACCUAUACCACAGCUCACAGCAACAUGGGAUCCUUAACCCACCGAGCAAAGCCAGGGAUCGAACCCACGUCCUCAUUGAUUCUGAUCCACGAUGGGCACCCCUUUAUUUUCUUAUCUUAAUGCUCUCCCUAAACCUGGGUAGAAUAACAGAAUACUUAAUUAAGGAAAGGAGUUGCAAAUGCCUUGGAUGAUAGAAGUUCACUAACCUGUUUGGAACCCUUACCUGCCAGGCUCUAUGUCUGCUCCUGUGUUAAAUCUCACGACGUCACAAGGGGCAGGUACUGCUCUCUGUUUACACGUGCUGGAAGGACACGCAGAGAUGGAACUUCCUCAGAGUCUCCUAGUGAAAGUAGAGGGGGGCUGAGAAGCCCUGGGCAGGCCUGCCACCCCCCCAAACACACACACACACACACACACACACACACACACACACGCACACACACCCCACCAUCCUGCACUGGGCUUGGUUUUGUUUUUUGUUUUGGGAUUUUUGUUGACAGUGCCAGUGGCAUGUGGGAGUUCCUGGGGCCAGGGAUCAAACCUGCACCAUACGCAUAACCAGAGCCACAGAAGUGACAACAGAAUCCUUAACCACUAGGCUGUUAGAGAACUCCCUGCACUGGAUUUGGUUUUUUUUAUUUUUUAUUUUUAUUUUUUAUUUAUUUUUGUCUUUUGUCUUUUUAGGGCUGCACCUGCGGCACAUGGAGCUUCCCAGGCGAGGGGUCGAAUCAGAGCUAUAGCUGCCAGCCUACACCACAGCCAGAGUAAGGCCAGAUCUGAGCCAUGUCUGCGACCUACACCACAGCUCACGGCCACACCGGAUCCUUAACCCACUGAGCAAGGCCAGGGAUCAAACCCUCGUCCUCAUGGAUCCUAGCCGGGUUCCUUAACUACUGAGCCACGACGGAAACUGAAAGGAGUUUUAACCUCUCCUAAGGAAACCACCUGCUGAGGCAAGAGAGUUAGUGCUAUGUGUCAGUCUGCUGGAAUGGCAAAUGAUGGCUUUGUCCCACGUUCAUCUGUUUGUGUCGAUCAUUCUCCUCAUGAAAAUUCAUGGAGCACUGAGCACCUAUUCUGUGUCUGGCCCUGCUUUGGACACUGGGGACUCGGGGAUGAUGAGGCCCAGUAACUAAAGGGUAGGCCUUGCCCACAGCUGGGCAGCAAGCGGAAGCACUUUGCAAGCAGAGGGAACAGGAUGAGACCUUCAGGGCUAUACAAGGCGAGGUUUAAGUAGGAAAAAAAAGGAGCGCGGGACAAGGUUGAGGGCUUCAGGGCACCUGACACAGGGCUGUCGUAUUCGUCCUUCCGCCCUUGACCUUCUCGCUCACCACAGUCAGCCCAGUUGCCAGAUGCAGGCUUGGUUCUGGGCAGAAGCUUGUUCGGUGUUCUCCACCCCAGCAGGACUUGGUGACGGCAGAGGGGGCUCCGUGUAGCCCGGAUACUGGGCAGGGCCUUUGUCCUGCCAUGGAGCUGCACUGUUGGCAAAGCUGGCUGCCAAUGCAGAGUUCCACACAGAGGUACCUGACACUGUGAGACCAUGUCUCACUGUCCUGGGCAUCAGUGGGAGCUGGUGACCUGUGUCAUGAUGGUAUGUGUGUUAACAGGUCUCUUGGUUUUUAGGCAGAAUGACAAGGCCCCUUUUGGAACUAAGGGUCAAGGAACCCACUAUUAACCCACUGUUAACGAAGGAACCCACUAUUAACCCACUACUAACGAUUCAGCACUAGUUCUAAAAAAAUGAAAAGUCUUGUCAGUUUUACCCUGCAAGGAAGGAAGAAGUGCCUGACAUCCUGGAGAUGCCUAACAUCAUGAUUUGGUCCAUCUUAUGAUUAAUAGCAAACCAACUAGGAAAAGAAAAACCUCAAUAUUCAGGUCAAGAUAAGUCAAUCUCUUGUAACAUAAGAAAGAUCCUGUCUCUAGAAGCAGAAACCAAAUCCAUUAAAAAAAAAA